GGGUGAGUAAUGCUUAGGAAUCUGCCAUUUAGUGGGGGACAACAUUCCGAAAGGAAUGCUAAUACCGCAUACGUCCUACGGGAGAAAGCAGGGGAUCUUCGGACCUUGCGCUAAAUGAUGAGCCUAAGUCGGAUUAGCUAGUUGGUGGGGUAAAGGCCUACCAAGGCGACGAUCUGUAGCGGGUCUGAGAGGAUGAUCCGCCACACUGGGACUGAGACACGGCCCAGACUCCUACGGGAGGCAGCAGUGGGGAAUAUUGGACAAUGGGCGGAAGCCUGAUCCAGCCAUGCCGCGUGUGUGAAGAAGGCCUUUUGGUUGUAAAGCACUUUAAGCGAGGAGGAGGCUACUAGUACUAAUACUACUGGAUAGUGGACGUUACUCGCAGAAUAAGCACCGGCUAACUCUGUGCCAGCAGCCGCGGUAAUACAGAGGGUGCGAGCGUUAAUCGGAUUUACUGGGCGUAAAGCGUGCGUAGGCGGCUGAUUAAGUCGGAUGUGAAAUCCCUGAGCUUAACUUAGGAAUUGCAUUCGAUACUGGUCAGCUAGAGUAUGGGAGAGGAUGGUAGAAUUCCAGGUGUAGCGGUGAAAUGCGUAGAGAUCUGGAGGAAUACCGAUGGCGAAGGCAGCCAUCUGGCCUAAUACUGACGCUGAGGUACGAAAGCAUGGGGAGCAAACAGGAUUAGAUACCCUGGUAGUCCAUGCCGUAAACGAUGUCUACUAGCCGUUGGGGCCU
rnacentral:rRNA from 1 species